UAAUACCAGCACCCCGAGUGGUCGGGACGAUUAUUGGGCCUAAAGCAUCCGUAGCCGGUUUUACAAGUCCUCCGUUAAAUCCAACUGCUUAACAGAUGGGCCGCGGAGGAUACUAUAAGACUAGGAGGCAGGAGAGGCAAGCGGUACUCAGUGGGUAGGGGUAAAAUCCGUUGAUCCAUUGAAGACCACCAGUGGCGAAGGCGGCUUGCCAGAAUGCGCUCGACGGUGAGGGAUGAAAGCUGGGGGAGCAAACCGGAUUAGAUACCCGGGUAGUCCCAGCUGUAAACGAUGCAGACUCGGUGAUGGACUAGCUUAAUGCUAGUCCAGUGCCGCAGGGAAGCCGUUAAGUCUGCCGCCUGGGUAGUACGGUCGCAAGACUGAAACUUAAAGGAAUUGACGG
rnacentral:rRNA from 1 species